GAUGAAGAACGUAGCGAAAUGCGAUAAGUAAUGUGAAUUGCAGAAUUCAGUGAAUCAUCGAAUCUUUGAACACACAUUGCGCCCGCCAGUAUUCUGGCGGGCAUGCCUGUUCGAGCGUCAUUUCAACCAUCAAGCCCCCCGGCUUGUGUUGGGGACCUGCGGCUGCCGCAGGCCCUGAAAAGCAGUGGCGGGCUCGCUGUCACACCGAGCGUAGUAGCAUACAUCUCGCUCUGGGCGUGCUGCGGGUUCCGGCCGUUAAACCACCUUCAUAACCCAAGGUUGACCUCGGAUCAGGUAGGAAGACCCGCUGAACUUAAGCAUAUCAAUAAGCGGAGA
rnacentral:misc_RNA from 1 species